rnacentral:rRNA from 1 species
UAGGGAAUCUUCGGCAAUGGACGAAAGUCUGACCGAGCAACGCCGCGUGAGUGAAGAAGGUUUUCGGAUCGUAAAACUCUGUUGUUAGAGAAGAACAAGGACGUUAGUAACUGAACGUCCCCUGACGGUAUCUAACCAGAAAGCCACGGCUAACUACGUGCCAGCAGCCGCGGUAAUACGUAGGUGGCAAGCGUUGUCCGGAUUUAUUGGGCGUAAAGCGAGCGCAGGCGGUUUCUUAAGUCUGAUGUGAAAGCCCCCGGCUCAACCGGGGAGGGUCAUUGGAAACUGGGAGACUUGAGGGCAGAGGAGGAGAGUGGAAUUCCAUGUGUAGCGGUGAAAUGCGUAGAUAUAUGGAGGAACACCAGUGGCGAAGGCGGCUCUCUGGUCUGUAACUGACGCUGAGGCUCGAAAGCGUGGGGAGCAAACAGG